CCCAGAAUACCUCAAAUGAGACAAGAUUGUCUACGUAUUUGUCGUCACUCAACAUCAAAACGGACAAGCCUGGAAGAGAAAUGGGUUGGUGAGCCCAAUAAAGCCCAAUUAUAGGCCCAUAAUUCCUCAAAGGCAAACGGAAGAGCCGAAUAAAGAAACAGAAAAAGAACUCUUCCCAUUUAUCUUCUUUUCUCCUCUGUUUUACGGUUUGCGAAGAACAGGUAAUAGUCUCUUUCAUUCAUAUUUUCCUUCAACAAUUCGAAUCUCCGCUGGGUUCCCUGAAGAUCGCGGAGUCAGGGUUACAUUAGCUGACAAUCAUACGCACUCGCCAAGGAGAUCAUUUUUGUCCCAGAUUAACUCAAGAUGGAGACUGAAGGUAGUCAACCAAAACAGGAGCGCUCAAGAACAAGGUUGACAAGAAAACAUGGAAUAACAUAUGUGAUAUUAACUACUAUUUAAUUUAAGAGUAUUGCAGAGAGAAAAGAAAACGACCAUCUGAGACACAAUCUUCUUUGAGCAGAAAGGAUGAAGAAAUGUCGGAGGCUAUGGCAGGAGCAAUGUUGGAUAUGCCUGCUGCUUGGAGGUCGAGGACUACUGCCACAAAAUCAAGGGAUGGCAAAUUUAGCAUAACUAAUUGCAUUAAAGCAUUGGAUGAGAUGUAAGACAUUGAAGAUCAACUCUAUAUUGCAGCUAUAGACCUCUUUGAAGGCCCCAACUUAAGGGAAACCUUUAUCUCUGUAAAAGGUGGCAAGAUAAGGCUGACAUGGUUGCAAGGGAAGUGAGGGAAACCUGCAAGGACUUCUAAGUUAGAGGGUGAAUCUUUGGCUCUUUUGGUAGUGUAAAGAUUUACGCAAUCUUUUAAUUUUAGGGAGCUAGUUUGUUCAUACAUUGGUUGCAUAGUACAUAUUGUUCGAUGAGAUGUUCUUGUUGUGGUGCAAAGGCACUUGUAUACGUGCAAUUUUGCAAAUAAUGGAAUCGUGCUUUUUGCAUUGGCUGGCAACUGAAUGCUUUAGUUUAUAGAUUUU